GGGCGUGUAGUAUAGUGGUUAUUGCGCCCGCUUUGCAUUUUCUCCUAACAUAUUCUUUGCGGGAGGUCUGGAGUUCGAUCCUCCACUCGUCCA